GCGCCCUUGGUGUACGGUAACACCCGUCUUAAUGGUACAUUUUCUCGAGCAAUUACUUCAAGACGAGUCCGGGGUUCGACUCCCCGAGGGCGUA